UCCUCCGUAGCUCAAUCGGCAGAGCAUUCGGCUGUUAACCGAAGGGUUACUGGUUCGAGUCCAGUCGGAGGAGCCG
rnacentral:tRNA from 1 species